CGUAGGGUGCAAGCGUUGUCCGGAAUUAUUGGGCGUAAAGAGCGUGUAGGCGGCCCGAUUAGUCCGCUGUGAAAGUCCAGGGCUCAACCCUGGAAUGCCGGUGGAUACUGUCGGGCUAGAGUCCGGAAGGGGCGAGUGGAAUUCCUGGUGUAGCGGUGAAAUGCGCAGAUAUCAGGAGGAACACCAAUGGCGAAGGCAGCUCGCUGGGACGUGACUGACGCUGAGACGCGAAAGCGUGGGGAGCAAACAGGAUUAGAUACCCUGGUAGUCCACGCUGUAAACGAUGGCAACUAGAUGUGGGGGGUGUCGACUCCCCCCGUGUCGAAGCUAACGCAUUAAGUUGCCCGCCUGGGGAGUACGGCCGCAAGGCUA
rnacentral:rRNA from 1 species